CUAGAGCCCUGUAGAAGGGAUGGGAUGGCAACCAAAGCAGACUUUCUCCCUAGGACUUUGAGGAGCAGCCGCCUGUAAAAGAAAGGAAUCAGAUAUUUCUUAGAAAACCACCACCAAAUUCAAAAUACAUUCAACUUUCCUUUGUCUGAUCUAUUCUUCUCCUGAAUAUGAUGUGCAAGAUGUUUCCUACAGAAAAAUCUUAAUAGGAGACCAACAGUGAUGGGAUGAGGGAAGAAUGGAGAGGUGGAGAGUUGGCUCCAUGGGCUAGAAGGGGAACAAACAGGAAUAUGGUAGCUGAGAAAGAACUACAUAGAGGAAAAUAUGCCUUUGGUAGAAGGAAAUGAUCAAAAAGGACAGAUACUUGAACUUCUUUCCUAGUAUCAUCUGAGGACAGAAGACUGAAAGCCUGGGGCAAUAAAGAGCAACGUCUGUUCCUCCCUCCCCUCACUUUUUGAAAGAGCUUGAUCAUUCUCCUGUAGUUGUAUGCAUUGGCAUCCAGAAAGUUUGAAUAGUCUGGGUAGAAGAUCAAACCAGCCACAUUUCCUUGAGCCAAACCCUAAUCCAGAGAAAGGCCCUAGUUUGCUUCAAUUCUGUGAUGACUGAGAGAGGAGACUUCAGAAGAAAAGCUUGAAGUUGGCAGAGAUUGGUUCAUGAGAUUUAAGGAAAGCAGUCAUCUUCAUAACCAUAAAAAUGCAGGGCGAAGCAGCAAAUACCAAUGUAGAAGCUGUUGCAGUUACCUAGAAGACCUAACUGAGAUCAUUAAUGCAGUGGCCUGGAACUGAACCUGCAAAUUCAAGGUCGUUUCUCCAUAAAAUGCAUUUGUUACUUGGCUUAUCUGGGUGACACAGACUUUGGAAUGUCACCCAUCAGGACUUCUGUUCAUAAUAGAGCAAAAAUGAUUUAAAUUGUAAAAAGAAGACUAUGAAAAACCAACAGCAGGCAUUCAACACAUCGGCGAAUGUUCAGGAUAAAUGUCUGAACUGUGCAUGGAAAACUAGCACACAUCCAGAAUUUGAUAAGCACUGUUCAGUGUUAUACAGAGAUGGAAAAGUAGAUUGUGGCGCUACUUCCGAACAGAAACCUCCAUUAGGAAAUUAAAUAACCGCCUGGUCACCUCAAGUGAAAAGAAACAGUAAAAGAUGGAACGCUGACCCUCUUGGAGUGCAAAAAAGUAUUUAGUGGAACCGUGCAGCACUGGAAAGAGAUCUGUGAUUAAAUUUCAGUUCUGCUCCUCUGAGUUUGAUCAGCACAAUACUCCAGUUUCAUCCACAUCGAAGCAAAUGGACUUCUUUAUACUCUUCAAAAUUAUUGAGAGCCCCAAAGAACUUUUGUUUAGCUUGCAGCUGCAGCAGAUCACCUGGCAGUGCCUGACUGUGGAGACAGCAUCCUUGCUACGCCCAACUGCAGCAUGGGCUCCUCAGAGAGGGGCUGCGGUCUAGUUACUUUCCUUCUGGCCAUUUAUGGUGCGGACGUAUCCGGUGCUUGCUCUCAGCCAGGAAGGAACACGAUAUAUUUCAAGUUUCUGAAAAGCGAGGAGUCUAAAGUCACCCCGUGCUGUGCUUUCUUCAAAGCGAUGGUGCCAGUCCAGGAGGGUCCUCAGCAGGCUGAUUUUUAAAGUACCUCCUUUUUGGUUUAGGAUUCUGCUUCAUCCCCAUCACUUUCAUCAUUGUUGUCAUUCUCUGCCAUGUCUUCUCCCCUCUUUAAGCCUUUUCAGAUAAUUACUAGCUAAAAUUGUCUUGGGUAAUCUGCAAGAAACUAAAAAGGUUUCUGAUUUUUCGGCAGUAUUUGACAAAUCAUUGAGUGCUUUCGUUUUCCAUUGCCAUCUCUCUAAGAAUAGGUGGCUAGACACUGAACGAAGAGUUCGGUAGACUUGGGCGUCCGCACGCAGGACUCCUGGUCAAUGGUGAACACCGUGGAGGAAGCUCUUUGUGAUGACCCGGAUGUGGAACCUGGAACCUGCGCCGCUGCUCCCUGCUCUUGUCUCCUCGGCAACCGUGUUGGCCAUCUUCCCGUACCUCCUGUGCGUGGUCUCCUGGGACCCGCCGUGAGCAGGGAAGACCAGCAUGGAGGGGGACAGCAACAUCCACGGCCACCUUAGAAGCUGUGCAGGCCAUGUUUGGAUGUUUGGAAGAACCCAAGAAGCCAGUUUCAUUUUGCUGGUGAUUGGUUUGAAGUGUGAUACAGCACCAGGAUCUAUACACGGAGACCUAAGGUGGGGCAUCUGCUCGAGUCUUCUGGGAGAGAGAUUUCUUCCUGACAAAGAAAGAGAUCCAUGGAGAAAUUCCACUUUUCUUUUCUGCCAUUGGAUGCUGUUGUAUCAUGACUUGAUAUCUUGCACUUCUGAAAGAAAAAAAACAAAAAAAAUUAUACAGAAGCCAAAUUGAAACCCAGACACGUUGAGGGGCAAGUUAGCUGAAACUGGAAUCCCUGACCUUUAUAAAUUUCUAAUUUUGAGUUGAUAGUUUAUUUCAAACUUAGUUUCCUAAGUUUGAGUUGAUAGUUGAUUAAAAUAUUUGACAUGUAGGAAAAGACUGGUGUUUUUAUGUUUUAGGACAGUAAAGCCAAACAAUGAGUAUACAGCCUUGAAAGAAAUAUGGCAUAUAAUAGAAUUACUCUUGGUUCUUUUGUGGACUUGGAAUGUUAUAAUUCUAUUCUUUACAUUUCUUGUCCACCAUUCAAAAAUAUUGAUAGGGUGUACAUUAUGUGCCAGAAAUUUGUUUUGGAUACUUACUGUACUGAGGUGAGCUAUAAAUGGUUGCUGCUUUUCAGUGGCUUACAGGCCAGUAGGGGAUGUGGAUGUAUAAACAAAUGCUAUGGUUUAAAAUGCAGAGAGGUAAAAACUAAUUUGAUGUAUAUCAAAUUACUUAGGAAUAUAAAAAGCUAUUUUGUGGUAAAGUUUUUCUAUUCUAUGAUAAUGUAUUUUUCUCAUAUUUGAGUACAGUGCAUUUCUUUCAAUUUUAGUUUAUUGAGUACUAUAUUAUACUUAAGGUUUGAUAAUGCAAGACUCUGAGGGAAUAUUUGUUCUUUAGAAAUGAGUCCAUGAUGGUCCCUUGUGUAUUGGCCCCCAUAUAGUUUGCUUCUUCACAGUGGGUUUGAACUAUUAAUUUAAAGCCAACUCAAAAUUUUUAUGUAUCUAAGUGCUUUAAAUGUAGCCCAAAUAAAUAAGCAUAUUUUCAGCCAUUUA